CUCCAGAAACAUUGGAUCCAGGCAAGCAACUUUGGCAGCGAAGAACGCGUGGAUACAGUGAAGCACGGCAAAGAGGUUUGAAAAUUCCAGCUCCUGGGAAACAAAAGAUGGACGAGAACGUGAAAGCGUCCACGUCACCUUGUUCUAAACCAGUAGCCUGACUUUUCAACAUUGGGAAGGUAGCCAUCUGAAAGGCCUUCUCCCAGAUGAGCAGCUCACACUCCAGCUCUACGCUGUAGAACAUGUCCUCCCCACACUCCGUUUGGACACUGAAGCAGUGCUUCCGCU